AUGGACGACAUUCACUGGUACCUAUGUGUUAUAAAUGCCAGAAAACUAUGUGUUCAAGUGCUCGACUCGCUAGGCCCAUCAAUGAACUGCAAAGACCUCACUAAUACGCUAGAGGGACUGGAUGAUUUAUUCAAAUAUGCAUCCGAGCACAUGGAAUUAAAAUUCGAUAAGUGGACUGAUCUAAAUGUUACAACAUGA
rnacentral:rRNA from 1 species